rnacentral:rRNA from 1 species
GACGAACGCUGGCGGCGUGCUUAACACAUGCAAGUCGAACGGAAAGGCCCUGCUUUUGUGGGGUGCUCGAGUGGCGAACGGGUGAGUAACACGUGAGUAACCUGCCCUUGACUUUGGGAUAACUUCAGGAAACUGGGGCUAAUACCGGAUAGGAGCUCCUGCUGCAUGGUGGGGGUUGGAAAGUUUCGGCGGUUGGGGAUGGACUCGCGGCUUAUCAGCUUGUUGGUGGGGUAGUGGCUUACCAAGGCUUUGACGGGUAGCCGGCAUGAGAGGGUGACCGGCCACCUGAGGACUGAGAUACGGAGCAGACUCCUACGGGCGGCAGCAGUGGGGAAUCUUGCACAGUGGGCGGAAGCCUGAUGCAGCAGCGCCGCGUGCGGGAUGACGGCCUUCGGGUUGUAAACCGCUUUCGCCUGUGACGAAGCGUGAGUGACGGUAAUUGGUAAAGAAGCACCGGCUAACUACGUG